GUCCCCGUAGUUCAACGGAUAGAACACGGGUUUCCUAAACCUGAGAUCCAAGUUCGAUUCUUGGCGGGGACGCCA
rnacentral:tRNA from 1 species